CCUACGGGCGGCAGCAGUAGGGAAUAUUGCUCAAUGGGGGAAACCCUGAAGCAGCAACGCCGCGUGGAGGAUGACGGUUUUAGGAUUGUUAACUCCUUUUGUGAGAGAAGAUAAUGACGGUAUCUCACGAAUAAGCACCGGUUAACUCCGUGCCAGCAGCCGCGGUAAUACGGAGGGUGCAGGCGUUACUCGGAAUCACUGGGCGUAAAGGGUGCGCAGGCGGGCUUGUAAGGCAGAUGUGAAAUCCUGUAGCUUAACUACAGAACUGCAUUUGAAACUAUGAGUCUAGAGUGUGGGAGAGGUAGGUGGAAUGCGUGGUGUAGGGGUAAAAUCCGUAGAUAUCAAGAAGAAUUCUCAUUGCGAAGGCGACCUACUGGAACAUUACUGACGCUGAUGCACGAAAGCGUGGGGAGCGAACAGGAUUAGAUACCCGAGUAGUC
rnacentral:rRNA from 1 species